AUGCACCCUUACAACCGGCUACCGUCCAGUGGCCACUCCUCGCCGUCUCCUCCCGCCUCGCCUCUCCGUUCACCUCGUCUCCGUCACACCCGCUCAAAAACCGGCCGGUUCUCUCCGUCCCAACCUGCUCCACGAACCUACGCUCAACGCCUCGCUUGGAUUUUCCUCUCGGUUCUCCUCCGUCGUCAAGGCAUUUUCCUCUUUGCGCCUCUUAUAUAUAUCUCCGGUAUGCUUCUCUACUUCGGGACGUUCUCGUUCGAUGUUGUUCCGAUCAUUAAGCACCGUCCGGCUCCUGGUUCUCUCUACCGGAGUCCUCAACUCUAUGCUAAGCUUCGACACGAAAUGGAUGCGGAUAAUUCUUCAGCCGAUGCGGUUCGUUUUUAA